rnacentral:lncRNA from 1 species
CUUCAAUUAUAAAGAUUGUCACGAUUACUGAUAACAUUGGCAUGAAUUUAUUUGACUGGGUCUUAAAUUUGUCUGCGCUACUUUCAAUUGUGAAAAUAAUUGUUAGAAUGUCGAAAUUAUUGAUAAAAUAUGGUUUAACGUUUUUAAACUGGUUCUACUGCUAAUAUAUACAUUAAUGGUAAGUGACACAUAUAUUUAUCAUUAAUGUUAACUGAUAUAUUUUAUAGUUUUACAUGUUUUACGACGACCACUGAUAUAAGUAUCUUUUAAUGGUUUUAUUUAAAGUACUACCACAACAGAAGUCUUUAAGCACCGUGUGGGGGCUUUAAAAUUUCCCCCCGUACUUGGAUUCAGUGUUGUUAUAUGAGAUAAAGAAGUCCACUAAAUUGUACUACAUGUAUAAACUAAACUACUAUUACUAUAAUUUAAUAAACUGUCAUAACAACAGUCUUUAAGUGUCGUGCGGCGGCCAUAAACUAUUUCCCUGUUCUUGGACUCAGUAUCGUUCAUUUUCUGUUGUUAGUAGACCACGAGUCCAUUCAUUGUAAUUAGAUAAUAGAAUUUCACUAACUAAGCUUGUGCUCUAGGGGCGUUAAAGGUCUUGCACAUUUCAGUAUAUCUUAUAAAAUCUCACCAGUACCUCAUGUAGUACUGGAUUUAUGGAGGAAAGGGAAUAAUAAUAUUUUUUAUUUUAAAAACGAAAUCAACAUUCAAAAGCAAACUGCAUAUGGACCAGAAGAUUUGUAACAUAUAUUACGGAAAGACCUCAAAUUUUACAUGAUGCAUCAUCAAAUAUAUGGACUCUUUUGACUUAUUUACAGAAGUAUGGAUUUGUAUAAAUUUCAGCGACUAAAUGUAUCAAAUACUUAAUCGAAAAUGUUCGUUAUUUUCUUCCAGAGCACUGUCUGGACGCUUGUUGUUGUUCUAUUGCUACUUUAUAAUUUUGUUAGAGCGAUAUCAGUUCAAAUUAAUCGAUUUAGUUUUACUUCGUUCUGUUUCGCCAAUCCAGGCCCAUCCACAUAUCCUUGUUAAUAAGGAGAGUGCAGAUCAACGAAUCGUAAUGUCACAAAACUAGGCCAAUAUAUAUGUUCUCGGUGACGAUUAGAUAAAACAGCACUGUGUCUGAAACAUCUUCUUUUAAACGUUUAACAUUUUCAUAUAGUCAUAUGAAGAAACAUAACACAUACGUAGUGUAUAAACAUAGAAAACAAAAUAAAAAAAAAAAACUUAAAAAAGUAUACAAAACAAAUUUUAAAACUAGGGUGGAACAGAAUUACAUAGAGAUUUAGUCAAUAUUUGUUAUAAAAGUGAGGCAUUGCUGCUGAAAUAUUAUAAGAUCAUCACAUGCCAACAGCUCUAUAAAACCUAACACACUUAGUCUAAUAUAGAUUUGAUAUAACAUUCGCAUCUAGCAGUUCUAUUUAUACUUCAACGACCAGUAUGUACAAGUAAUGAAUGUGCCGAUAUCCUUUUUCCUGUUAAAAUGAUUUACAUAAUUUCACGGUCAGCUCUAAAUAAGAUUCAUACAGACAACCUUGUAAAAAACAAUCAAGUGUCUUUGUUUAAACUACGAGUCAAAGGAUUAAUUGCAAAAAUAAUUUAUAAUAUGUUUAUGUUUCUGCUGCAGAGAAAAUAAUGUGACAAAAGAACAGCUAUUGUAUCAAGUCAAGUUCAACCGACUAUCCGUAUAUUUUCCAGUACGUAUUCGUAAAGUAUUUGUUGAAACGGUCGCUUCCGGUAGUUUUAUUAACAAAGUAGCCUUGCUAAAAGACCAUA